GGACUGGAUUGGAUUGGAAGAAGAGGAUUGAGGAACUCCAACAGAUCCGGCGACGAGAAUAAAACUAGGACGAGAUGGCAGCUUCGCUUUUGUUUGCCGCGAGAAAGAUCUGCGGUCGCGCCCUUGGGCGACCACCGCAGUUGUAUUUUAGGGCGGCCGUUAAGGAGGAACAGAGUCUGCUGUUGCCAAGGAUUGGCCAUGGCAGGAGCUUCCCUCAACGCUUCAGCUCCUCUGAAUCAAGUCUUUCAAAAAAGCAGCACGGACCUCAAUUAGCUGCAAACACUACAAAGUCGUCGAAGCACACACCAUGUCACCCCAAUUAUGUACGUAAUAUAUUUUUUGGGACAAUCGGGACGGCUAUAGGAGUCCUUGCAAUACUCUAUGGUGUGGCCCGUACACACGGGGGGCCGAUUUUUAGAGAACAACUAUUGGGCUUGCCGCCUAAACCAAGCAAGGAAGAUGAUUAGCCUUCGGAUGACGGCUAUUGGAGCUCACAACCAAGAAUGCCUGAAUAUGACCUGGUGUUGUUAUGGUGCUCGUUGGCCUGAACAUGAGCAUUAGUCUGUUGUGACUCUGGCUGAACAAAUUUACCGUGUUUGAAUAUUUACCGAGGACCGUUAUUUUGUUAUGGUGCUCAUUGGCCUAUUUACUUGUUCAUCAGUCUGUUUUGACGAAUUUACUAUGACGUGUUGUUAUGA